GGUCCUUUGGUAUAGUGGCAGUACAGCUCCCUUUCGAGAAGCUAGGACCAGUUCAAUUCUGGUAAGGAUCA
rnacentral:tRNA from 1 species